rnacentral:misc_RNA from 1 species
UUUCCGUAGGUGAACCUGCGGAAGGAUCAUUAUUGGAUUUUGAAACUUCAGGCUGCUGCUGGCUCUCCUCGGAGGGCAUGUGCACGCUUGUUGUCCAUUAUUUCUCCCACUGUGCACAAAUUGUAGACCUUUCAGUAGGCCUAUGUUGUUUUUCACAAUCCCUGAAUGUAAUAGAAUGGUUUUGAAUCUUGGGAAAUACAAUACAACUUUCAGCAACGGAUCUCUUGGCUCUC